rnacentral:rRNA from 1 species
GACGAACGCUGGCGGCGUGCUUAACACAUGCAAGUCGAACGGUAAGGCCCUUCGGGGUACACGAGUGGCGAACGGGUGAGUAACACGUGGGUGAUCUGCCCUGCACUUCGGGAUAAGCCUGGGAAACUGGGUCUAAUACCGGAUAGGACCACUGCCUGCAUGGGUGGUGGUGGAAAGCUUUUUCUGUGUGGGAUGGGCCCGCGGCCUAUCAGCUUGUUGGUGGGGUGAUGGCCUACCAAGGCGACGACGGGUAGCCGGCCUGAGAGGGUGACCGGCCACACUGGGACUGAGAUACGGCCCAGACUCCUACGGGAGGCAGCAGUGGGGAAUAUUGCACAAUGGGCGCAAGCCUGAUGCAGCGACGCCGCGUGAGGGAUGACGGCCUUCGGGUUGUAAACCUCUUUCAGCACCGACGAAGCGCAAGUGACGGUAGGUGCAGAAGAAGGACCGGCCAACUACGUGCCAGCAGCCGCCGUAA